ACUCCGGUUGAUCCUGCCGGACCCCACUGCUAUCGGGAUAGGACUAAGACAUGCUAGUUGAGCGCUUCAGCCAAAACGAGGCGCAGCGAACAGCUCAGUAACACGUGGCUAAUCUGCCCUUGGGACAAAAACAACCCCGGGAAACUGGGGCUAAUUUUUGAUAGGCGAAGAACUCUGGAAUGAGUCUUCACUUAAAAGACUUCACGUUAUGCUCGUGAAGUUGCCCAAGGAUGAGGCCGCGACCGAUCAGGUUGUUGGUGAGGUAAUGGCUCACCAAGCCUUUUACCGGUGCGGGCCGUGAGAGCGGGAGCCCGGAGAUGGGCACUGAGACAAGGGCCCAGGCCCUACG
rnacentral:rRNA from 1 species